rnacentral:rRNA from 1 species
AGAGUUUGAUCCUGGCUCAGGAUGAACGCUAGCUACAGGCUUAACACAUGCAAGUCGCGGGGCAGCAUGUUUUUACCCUCGGGUAAGAAUGAUGGCGACCGGCGCACGGGUGAGUAACGCGUAUCCAACCUGCUCUUCACUACGGGAUAGCCUGUCGAAAGGCAGAUUAAUACCGUAUGAUAUCCGAAGACGGCAUCCGAAUCGGAUUAAAGGUGAUAUUGGUGAAGGAUGGGGAUGCGUCCGAUUAGCUUGUUGGCGGGGUAACGGCCCACCAAGGCAUCGAUCGGUAGGGGUUCUGAGAGGAAGGUCCCCCACAUUGGAACUGAGACACGGUCCAAACUCCUACGGGAGGCAGCAGUGAGGAAUAUUGGUCAAUGGUCGAGAGACUGAACCAGCCAAGUAGCGUGCAGGAAGACGGCCCUAUGGGUUGUAAACUGCUUUUAUGCGGGGAUAAAGCGGGGAACGUGUUCCCCUUUGCAGGUACCGCAUGAAUAAGGACCGGCUAAUUCCGUGCCAGCAGCCGCGGUAAUACGGAAGGUCCGGGCGUUAUCCGGAUUUAUUGGGUUUAAAGGGAGCGCAGGCCGCCUUUUAAGCGUGUUGUGAAAUGUCCCGGCUCAACCGGGUCACUGCAGCGCGAACUGGAAGGCUUGAGUACGCUGUAGGUAGGCGGAAUUCGUGGUGUAGCGGUGAAAUGCUUAGAUAUCACGAAGAACUCCGAUUGCGAAGGCAGCCUACCAUCGCGUGACUGACGCUGAGGCUCGAAAGUGCGGGUAUCGAACAGGAUUAGAUACCCUGGUAGUCCGCACGGUAAACGAUGGAUGCCCGCCGUUGGGUUUUUUGGUUCAGCGGCCAAGCGAAAGCGUUAAGCAUCCCACCUGGGGAGUACGCCGGCAACGGUGAAACUCAAAGGAAUUGACGGGGACCCGCACAAGUAGCGGAGCAUGUGGUUUAAUUCGAAGCAACGCGAAGAACCUUACCUACACUUGACAUCCCUUGCAUUACUCUUAAUCGAGGAAAUCCCUUCGGGGACAAGGUGACAGGUGGUGCAUGGUUGUCGUCAGCUCGUGUCGUGAGAUGUUGGGUUAAGUCCCGCAACGAGCGCAACCCCUAUCUUUAGUAGCCAUCAUUAAGUUGGGCACUCUAGAGAGACUGCCAGGGAUAACCUGGAGGAAGGUGGGGAUGACGUCAAAUCAUCAUGCCCCUUAUGUUUAGGGCUACACACGUGCUACAAUGGGUGCUACAAAGGGAAGCAAAUCCGCGAGGCCGAGCAAAUCUCAAAAAAGCACUCCCAGUUCGGAUUGUAGUCUGCAACUCGACUACAUGAAGUUGGAAUCGCUAGUAAUCGCGAAUCAGAAUGUCGCGGUGAAUACGUUCCCGGGUCUUGCACUCACCGCCCGUCAAG